rnacentral:lncRNA from 1 species
UCAGGAAGUACUCCCCUCGGGUGGUGGCUGAGGUCACCUACGACCCCUCCAAGCUCCGCGGCGACCCUGACGGCGGUUUCAUGAUCCUUGCCAACUACAUCGGCGCCCUCGGCAAGCCGCAGAACGUCCGCCCCGAGAAGAUCGCCAUGACCGCCCCCGUCAUCACCAAAGCCGGCCCCGAGAAGAUCGCCAUGACCGCGCCCGUCAUCACCAACGUCGCCGGCGAGGGCAAGGAAGUGACCAUGCAAUUCGUGCUGCCGUCCAAGUACUCGCGGGCGGAGGAGGCGCCGGCCCCGGUGGACGAACGGGUCGUGGUGAGGGACGAGGGGGAGGCCA